UCCUGGGUGGCUCAGUCGGUUGAGCGCCUGACUUCUGCUCAGGUCAUGAUCUCACGGUUCAUGGGUUCGAGCCCCGCGUCAGGCU
rnacentral:tRNA from 1 species